GAUGAACGCUAGCUACAGGCUUAACACAUGCAAGUCGAGGGGCAGCAUAAAUCUAGCAAUAGACUUGAUGGCGACCGGCGCACGGGUGAGUAACACGUAUCCAACCUACCUAUUACUCGGGUAUAGCCUUUCGAAAGAAAGAUUAAUACCCGAUACGAUAUUGAGUUCGCAUGAAUUUAAUAUGAAAGAUUUAUUGGUAUUAGAUGGGGAUGCGUUCCAUUAGAUAGUUGGUGAGGUAACGGCUCACCAAGUCUUCGAUGGAUAGGGGUUCUGAGAGGAAGGUCCCCCACACUGGAACUGAGACACGGUCCAGACUCCUACGGGAGGCAGCAGUGAGGAAUAUUGGUCAAUGGGCGAGAGCCUGAACCAGCCAAGUAGCGUGAGGGAUGACUGCCCUAUGGGUUGUAAACCUCUUUUAUAAGGGAAUAAAACGCUCCACGUGUGGAGCUUUGCAUGUACCUUUUGAAUAAGGAUCGGCUAACUCCGUGCCAGCAGCCGCGGUAA
rnacentral:rRNA from 1 species